GUGCCGGUGGUGUGAUGGUGUAGAGCAUUCACGCCCGGUGAGCAGGAAGUGUGGGUUCGAGUCCCGCCUGGCACU
rnacentral:tRNA from 1 species